GAUGAACGCUGGCGGCGUGCCUAAUACAUGCCAGUCGAGCGAACGGACGAGAAGCUUGCUUCUCUGAUGUUAGCGGCGGACGGGUGAGUAGCACGUGGAUAACCUACCUAUAAGACUGGGAUAACUUCGGGAAACCGGAGCUAAUACCGGAUGAUAUUUUGAACCGCAUGGUUCAAAAGUGAAAGACGGUCUUGCUGUCACUUAUAGAUGGAUCCGCGCUGCAUUAGCUAGUUGGUAAGGUAACGGCUUACCAAGGCAACGAUGCAUAGCCGACCUGAGAGGGUGAUCGGCCACACUGGAACUGAGACACGGUCCAGACUCCUACGGGAGGCAGCAGUAGGGAAUCUUCCGCAAUGGGCGAAAGCCUGACGGAGCAACGCCGCGUGAGUGAUGAAGGUCUUCGGAUCGUAAAACUCUGUUAUUAGGGAAGAACAUAUGUGUAAGUAACUGUGCACAUCUUGACGGUACCUAAUCAGAAAGCCACGGCUAACUACGUG
rnacentral:rRNA from 1 species